rnacentral:pre_miRNA from 1 species
AUCCCUUGGGAAUCUUGUUAAAAUGCAGAUUCUGACUCAGUAGUUUUGGAGUAGGCUCUGGGAUUCUGCAUUUCUAACAAGCUCUAAGUUGAUGCUAC